GAGAAUGGAUUGUAGGUCUGGCUGCCCAGAAGAACAGUAGCAGGACUACAGAUAGCUAAGUCUGCUGACAGGGACUGGGGGAAUGAGAGGCUCUUGGCUGGCUGCUAGGGACUGAGUAAGGACUGAGCCUGGGGAGGGCUACAGAAAGAUAGUGUCUCCAGGGAGGAAGCCCUGGGGAUAUGGCCCCAUACCAGGGCUGGACUACUUAAAGACAUAAGCCCAAGGAGGGCUGGAGAGAGACAAGCCCUGUGGACUAUGUACCCCAGAAGGGGUUUAUGCUGGCUAAUGUGUGAACAGUGUGACUUGGCUGGAGGGCUGAGUCACUGAAAACCUGCCUAAGAACCACUGAAAGGGGUCUCCAGACCUAAAGAAUGCAAACAUGCCCAAUCAGAAGGGGGCACUUGUGAGAGGUAACUCAGGUUGGGACCUUGAAGACAUUUACUGGACUCAGGAACUUGAGAUGGAACAGAGGGUCUCGUCUGUUGGUGGAUAACCAGUUUAAGAGCCAUUAAAGUCCAUGGGAGUCUUUCCAUUGAUGUUACUACCAGUUGGACUGGGCCCUUAAAGUUCAUGAAAGACUGGAGAUUGACCAUGAUGGACACUGAUGUCUUCUUCAGUUUAACAACAGUUCAGCAACAGCAGGAGCUGUGGCUUCCCUUGUACUGCACUGCCCAUGUAUCUGAACCCUGAACAGGAGCUGUAGAAGCCUGACAACCUUGAGUAUUUAACUCCUGGGUAUAUUCACUGGCCUGGUACCACCUGAUCAUGAGCAGAGCAGACUUUCUCAUAGUGCGAGCUUUCUAAGGAUGAGAGGGUCAUUCAGUCUUCAUGGCUUGUUCAAUCCUUUGCAUCUCUGCUAAGGCUGCCAAGGAAGGUAAUUGCAAUGUGGACAGUUGUUCACUAGAAAGAUAAAUGAGAGCAACAACUCAUUUCGUUAAGGCUGCUGAACAGCUGUGUGACGGUAAUGAUCUUGUGCGGGGAAAUAGGGGGGAAAGAGGAGACAGAUACCAGGGUCUCAAGCUCAGCCCUCCCCAACUGUUGGCAACUGGGGUGAAAUGGGGGUUAAAUAGUAGGGGUGUGGCAUCGCAGUGAAUGUGAGGUAGUGGGGUCCCAAAUUUCUCUCACUGGGCCAGUCACCAUUGACCUGGAUUGAACCAGGCUGCUGAUAUACGGAGAUAUUUUCAAAGGCACAAAUGGCAGUUUAGCGUCCAGCUGCUAUUGUUUUUUCAAUGGCAGUUGUGUGCCAAACUGCCAUUUUGAAAAUAUUCCCCAAAAGCUUAAUACUACGAGUUGCUGAGCCCCUGCUGCAAUGUGCUGAAUGUCCACAGCUCCCCAUUACAUUUCAAUGAGAGUUGAAGGCUUCUCAGCACCUCGAAGAAUUGGCUGUGUAGAUGUGAUCAGCUCCAAAUCCCAUUAUAUGUUCCAGUGGAGCAGCAAUGCUAUUCUAGGAAUUAACUGUAAUGUUUACAUUAUAAUAAAUGUUUACUGUAAAUUGUUUCAAAUA